GACGAACGCUGGCGGCGUGCCUAAUACAUGCAAGUCGAGCGGAACUGGGGGAGCUUGCUCCUUCCAGUUUAGCGGCGGACGGGUGAGUAACACGUGGACAACCUGCCCUGCAGAUCGGGAUAACUCCGGGAAACCGGUGCUAACACAGAAUAGUUUGGCGCCUCUCCUGAGGCGCCACGGAAAGACGGUUUCGGCUGUCACUUCAGGAUGGGCCUGCGGCGCAUUAGCUAGUUGGUGGGGUAACGGCCCACCAAGGCGACGAUGCGUAGCCGACCUGAGAGGGUGACCAGCCACACUGGGACUGAGACACGGCCCAGACUCCUACGGGAGGCAGCAGUAGGGAAUCUUCCGCAAUGGACGCAAGUCUGACGGAGCAACGCCGCGUGAGUGACGAAGGUUUUCGGAUCGUAAAACUCUGUUGUGAGGGAAGAACACGUACCAACUAACUAUUGGUACCUUGACGGUACCUCACCAGAAAGCCACGGCUAACUACGUGCCAGCAGCCGCCGCGG
rnacentral:rRNA from 1 species